AUGCAAGUCGAACGGUAACAGGAAGAAGCUUGCUUCUUUGCUGACGAGUGGCGGACGGGUGAGUAAUGUCUGGGAAACUGCCUGAUGGAGGGGGAUAACUACUGGAAACGGUAGCUAAUACCGCAUAACGUCGCAAAACCAAAGAGGGGGACCUUCGGGCCUCUUGCCAUCGGAUGUGCCCAGAUGGGAUUAGCUAGUAGGUGGGGUAACGGCUCACCUAGGCGACGAUCCCUAGCUGGUCUGAGAGGAUGACCAGCCACACUGGAACUGAGACACGGUCCAGGCUCCUACGGGAGGCAGCAGUGGGGAAUAUUGCACAAUGGGCGCAAGCCUGAUGCAGCCAUGCCGCGUGUAUGAAGAAGGCCUUCGGGUUGUAAAGUACUUUCAGCGGGGAGGAAGGGAGUAAAGUUAAUACCUUUGCUCAUUGACGUUACCCGCAGAAGAAGCACCGGCUAACUCCGUGCCAGCAGCCGCGGUAAUACGGAGGGUGCAAGCGUUAAUCGGAAUUACUGGGCGUAAAGCGCACGCAGGCGGUUUGUUAAGUCAGAUGUGAAAUCCCCGGGCUCAACCUGGGAACUGCAUCUGAUACUGGCAAGCUUGAGUC
rnacentral:rRNA from 1 species